GAGUUUGAUCGUGGCUCAGAUUGAACGCUGGCGGCAUGCCUUACACAUGCAAGUCGAACGGCAGCAUGAUCUAGCUUGCUAGAUUGAUGGCGAGUGGCGAACGGGUGAGUAAUACAUCGGAACGUGCCCUGUAGUGGGGGAUAACUAGUCGAAAGAUUAGCUAAUACCGCAUACGACCUGAGGGUGAAAGUGGGGGACCGCAAGGCCUCAUGCUAUAGGAGCGGCCGAUGUCUGAUUAGCUAGUUGGUGGGGUAAAGGCCCACCAAGGCGACGAUCAGUAGCUGGUCUGAGAGGACGAUCAGCCACACUGGGACUGAGACACGGCCCAGACUCCUACGGGAGGCAGCAGUGGGGAAUUUGGACAAUGGGCGAAAGCCUGAUCCAGCAAUG
rnacentral:rRNA from 1 species